UUGACAACAGGUUGAAAUUCCUGUACCUUAAGUAAACAGAACUGUGGGGACACGUGUGGAGAGCACAAGCCGGAAAUGGAAAAGCCGGUGCAAGCGAGGUAGGAGAUGAACAGGCAAAUCCGUUCAUCAAUCCGAAGACGUGAUGCGGACCGAAUUAAGAGUAGGGAAGUGUGUGAGCCAUGCGUCAAGAAAAGCCGCUAUUGUUUUACUUUAGCCCGUACCGUAAACCGACACAGGUGGAUGAGGAGAGAAUCCUAAGGCCGACGGGAGAAGCAUUGUUAAGGAACUCGGCAAAAUGACUCCGUAACUUCGGGAGAAGGAGUGCCAGCGAGAGCUGGCCGCAGAGAAUUGGCCCAAGCAACUGUUUAGCAAAAACACAGGUCUAUGCAAAACCGUAAGGUGAAGUAUAUGGGCUGACGCCUGCCCGGUGCUGGAAGGUUAAGAGGAGAGGUUAGCGGCAACGCGAAGCUUUGAAUUUAAGCCCCAGUAAACGGCGGCCGUAACAAUAACGGUCCUAAGGUAGCGAAAUUCCUUGUCGGGUAAGUUCCGACCCGCACGAAAGGCGUAAUGAUUUGGGCACUGUCUCAACAAUGCACCCGGUGAAAUUGAAAUACCAGUGAAGAUGCUGGUUACCUGCGCCAGGACGGAAAGACCCCAUGGAGCUUUACUCCAGCUUGAUACUGGGAUUCGGUAUUGCAUGUACAGGAUAGGUGGGAGGCUAGGAAGUGAUAACGCCAGUUGUCACGGAGCCGCUGUUGGGAUACCACCCUUGCAGUAUUGGAUUUCUAACCAGCGACCAUGAACUGGUCGGGGGACAAUGUCAGGUGGGGAGUUUGACUGGGGCGGUCGCCUCCGAAAGGGUAUCGGAGGCGCUCAAAGGUUCCCUCAGAAUGGACGGAAACCAUUCGAAGAGUGCAAAGGCAGAAGGGAGCUUGACUGCGACACCGACGGGUGGAGCAGGUACGAAAGUAGGACUUAGUGAUCCGGUGGUAUAAAGUGGGAUUGCCAUCGCUCAACGGAUAAAAGCUACCCUGGGAUAACAGGCUUAUCACUCCCAAGAGUUCACAUCGACGGAGUGGUUUGGCACCUCGAUGUCGGCUCAUCGCAUCCUGGGGCUGAAGUAGGUCCCAAGGGUUGGGCUGUUCGCCCAUUAAAGCGGUACGCGAGCUGGGUUCAGAACGUCGUGAGACAGUUCGGUCCCUAUCCGGCGUGGGCGUAGGAUAUUUGAGAGGAGCUGUCCUUAGUACGAGAGGACCGGGAUGGACUGGCCGCUGGUGUAUCUGUUGCAUACCAAAUGCAUGGCAGAGUAGCCAAGCCGGGACGGGAUAAACGCUGAAGGCAUCUAAGCGUGAAGCCCCCCUCAAGAUGAGAUAUCCCUACGUAAGUAGUAAGACCCCUUGAAGACGACGAGGUAGAUAGGUCAGAGGUGGAAGUACAGUAAUGUAUGGAGCUGACUGAUACUAAUCGGUCGAGGGCAUGACC
rnacentral:rRNA from 1 species